rnacentral:lncRNA from 1 species
UUUUUGUUUGAUGCACAUGGACAUUAAAAGUGAUGCUAUUUAUAGUUGUACAUCUAAUCCUCGCUAUCCAUACCUAAACUAAAGCACAAAUAGUCUCUAUUCAGCAGUGUCAGCUUAGGUGGUGAUAACUAGGUUGGGCAUAACCUUAUUAUAGGGAUAGCAGCAACUGUUGUGAGACGAACAGCCAUGUAAUCUUGAAUCAGAACAGGUUUAGGACUUUUCCCUGCCACAAGUUCGAAUUCACUCUUUUUCAAUUUUUAUAUAGAUCUAUCAUAUGUUGUAACAUCAUAUAAAGCACACAACUAAGAGUGAUGCAUAUUUAUUUAU